UACGGAGGGAGCUAGCGUUACUCGGAAUUACUGGGCGUAAAGCGUGCGUAGGUGGUUCGUUAAGUCUGAUGUGAAAGCCCUGGGCUCAACCUGGGAAUGGCAUUGGAAACUGGCGACCUAGAGUGCGGUAGAGGGUAGUGGAAUUCCCGGUGUAGCAGUGAAAUGCGUAGAGAUCGGGAGGAACAUCCGUGGCGAAGGCGACUACCUGGACCAGCACUGACACUGAGGCACGAAAGCGUGGGGAGCAAACAGG
rnacentral:rRNA from 1 species